AGCAGCAUGGCGCAGUGGUAGCGCGCGGGGCCCAUACUCCCUUGUAAUGGAACCCCGAGGUCACUUGAUCGAAACAAGUUGCUGCUA